GUCCACGCUGUAAACGAUGAUUACUAGGUGUGGGGGACUGACCCCUUCCGUGCCGCAGUUAACACAAUAAGUAAUCCACCUGGGGAGUACGACCGCAAGGUUGAAACUCAAAGGAAUUGACGGGGCCCGCACAAGCAGUGGAGUAUGUGGUUUAAUUCGAAGCAACGCGAAGAACCUUACCAGGUCUUGACAUCGAGUGACGAGCUAAGAGAUUAGCUUUCCUUUCGAGGCACGAAGACAGGUGGUGCAUGGUUGUCGU
rnacentral:rRNA from 1 species